UCACAGUCGUUGACAACACCCCGUUCGUUAAAGAUAGUUUUUGUUGAACGUCGCAGAUACGCAUUGGAGAAAAUUAAGAGUGAAAUUAUUGGGACUGCUGAAAAAAGUCCGUUGGGACCUUUGUCUGAAGUUACAUACCAUCCCCCAUUUACACAACUAUACCAUGGAAUCUAAGAAGUUACAUAGGCCACAUAAUAUAGUUGGUGGUACUUCUGAAACUGGCCAUUGGGAGACAUGACAAGGUCUUCAGCUAAUAGUCAACGACUGGGUGGAAAAAAUAAACCAAGCAAUCGCUUUCGAGAAUGAAAACGUCAGCAUUUCCAAAGCGCCCUGCCUGCCUUCCUUCCUUCUAUACAAAAACUACGUUAUGGCGAUAUCAUGAGAUCCCAAAGGGAGGUAGAAGAAAUGUCUCGAACAAAUCCUUGUCAUUUUGAUGCCAAACGUCUAAUAGGCUUUAAGCAAGCGCAGAGUGAGUUGAACAUCGAAGAAAAUUCAUCUUUUUAGGAUACACCAAUCCCUUAACAUUGUUGGUUGGCACUCAUGGUCGGAAAUGUGCAAAUUCUACACAAAUUCUAUUCGUUCUAAAUAAUCUCAAAGAGUAGUGGAAUAUUGAUUUUGAAUCACGGCAAGCGGUGUGGAAGCAGUAAGAAAUGAAUGCGGUUACUGCCAUGGAGUAUGAAUCAGUCUGGCUUCAACAAAAUCAUGUUUAGUUGCUGUCCGGAACAACAUUCCUCCUCAUCAGUCCGUAUCAUGAACUUUGCAAUCAACACAAGGAUUUUUAAAUGGGAAAAAUGAAUGGUAUUUAUGAAAACUAUUUCUAUAAAUCACAACAUUUUUCCCGAAUUUUCAGUAAGAUGUGGGGCUGUUACCAUUCUUUCCCACAGAUGUUUGUUUUGCUGUUGUGAAUCGAUUGGUCGUCAGUCAGGCAGUCCGCAAACUGUUUGAGGAUGUUUUAUAUACGUUUAUCCACUUUCACUUUUUAUGUGUCGUAGAGCAGAUUCGUAAGCAGUAUAUACAAAUCACAAUGUAAAAUAACUUACAAUUUUAGGAAAAAAAAUAUCCACACCAACCCAAGGAAAAUGCAACUACAUCAAUUGUUGCCACCAGUUAGGAUUUUCAGUGAAUUUUGAGAGCCUACAAGAGCCCUGAUUCAUUUCUUGAAAAUCGUAAGCUGUAUUAUGAAAUAUCUUUGCAAUAACAUGUAAUUUUAGGAUUUCGAAAUUUACGUGUUGCGAAUGAUAACGAAGAAUGUUCCAAGAAUGUCUACAAUUGCUUUUAAAUCAUCCCAUACAAUUCACACAUAUCAGCAGAGUACAAUACUUUAAACAACGUGAACCGUCCAUGAUUUCAUAAAUUAGUGGUCUGCUGGAGCGAAUCCACUCUACCAGGUGACAACGUUUUUAUUAAAUAAUACCAGUUCCAAUUUUCUUUAGUUUGUAUGGCAACUCCUAAACAAAAUGAUACGGCUACAACAACAGCUACAGCAAUAUGUAUGUUCCAGGUGUAUUUUAUUUCAAAUAAUUUCUUUUAGAGAAGAUUGGGAUUUGAGGGAAUUGGUCUAUCCAAGAAAGCUGUAUCACAAACAUUUUUACUAAGCAUAAUCGACGGCAUCGUUGACCUUGAUCCGAAUAAUGUCAUUUCCACUGAUAUAAUUAAGGAGCAUAUUGACGGUAUACGCAAUUUUCCAUAACCAAACAUGUAGAGUUCUAUAAUUUUUAGCAUUGCGACUCAGUUGAUCUGUGCCUGAGCGCAAUUUGUGAGCAAGUUCUGACAAUACUGCUGGCAAACUCUAAUCCUGUCCAUAUGGUGCUGAACUUCUACACUCAGUAAGGAAUAUGUGAAAUUAAAUAUCGGCUAAUGAAAUAUUUGCAGAAAAAACAUAAGCGACAAAUGGGUACUACCGAAAUUUCUGAGGGAUUCAUUAUCCUCCUUUUAUUAAAGCCAACAGAAACAAAACAUAUUCCCACUGUAAGAACGUUGUAUUUCGUUUAAAACUAAUGCGAUUAUUCCAGAUACGAUUAUUUGUUGCUGCCUAUUAAAUAUAGAGGACUAAAAAGCAAUACAUGAAUAUUUAGUUGCGAAAACCACCCUCCACACAGAGUAAGGAAGAAAGAAUUUCCUCUUUUGAAUAAUAUGAUUCUUACAGAUAAAAUACUGACAACUUUAAAAAGAAAUAACAUGCCUUUGGGAUAUUCACAAUGCACUAAGUAUUGAGGAAGCGUUAGAAGACAAUUUGGUUUGUUUUCACGUUUUGCUUUCCGGGUUUUAUACGACCUCCUUCAUAAAAAUGCUAAAAGCCUGUCUUUGUGAACACCAUUUUCUUGGAAAGAAUGUGCUUUCAUUGUUUCGGCAAUAGUAUCGCGUAAGAGAAUUUGUGGAAAAUUAUAUGUCAUUAAUUUCAUUUUUCCAGAAAAUAUUUAAUAAGUUUCCCCCAACGAAAAUGACAGCUUGAAGAUGCUUUUAAGGCCCCCACAUCCAAAUAUUGGGUUGGUUUAAUAAUAAAUACAAUGGCUUCGACCCUCGAUCAGGCAAGCUUUGCAUUCUGAACUUAACAAAUCGAACAUGUUUCUUGACAAAUUUUUAGCGUUAUGACACAGUUGAACGGUGCCUGUGCAUAACUGGAUCGUAAUAUAAACAUGGAUGCUUGCAUAUGCGACAGAUCUCGUGUCACAAAUCCCAAUAUUCGAUAUCUGCAUUAGUAUCGCGUAAGAUAAUUUGUGGAAAAUUAUAUGCGAUUAAUUUAAUUUUUCCAGAAAAUAUUUCAUAAGUCUCUCCCAACCAAAAAGAUGCUUUUAAGGCCUCCACAUCCAAAUAUUGGGUUGAUUUGAAAAUAAAACUACAAUGGCUUUUGACCUCCUGAUCAGGCAAGCUUUGCAUUCUAAACUUAACAAAUCGAACGUGUUUCUUGACAAAUUUUAGCGUUAUGACACAGUUGAACGGUGCCUGUGCAUAACUGGAUCGUAAUAUAAACAUGGAUGCUUGCAUAUGCUUUAAGACAAAUUUGACAGGCAAGAUUUCUAUUUUUUUAAUAUAAGAAACGAAGGUUUUUUUUGGAAAGAAUUUUUUAGCGUUAUAACACAGUUGAACGGUACCUGUGUAUAACUUGUAAAGGGAAUUACGUCGAUUGUACAUUUGGCUCAACGUAUAUAUCCUGGAUCAACGAAAUAAUUGUCAAGAGUUUUCAUUCGGAAAACACAGGCAAGAUUGUAUUUAUUAUUACGAAAAUCGAACAUAUUUCUUAACUAAAUUUUAGCAUGUACAACAGUUGAUCAGUGCCCGAGCAGAAUGGCGAGACAGACAACCAUAAUAUUUAUUAAGCGUUUGAAAUAUACUUGAUUUAUCUACGUUGUUGUUGCCCCUUUCGUUUCCUUUUUCUACAUAUUUGCACAGAACCAGCAGCAAGACAUUUUUAACGCAAGAGACUCAAGGCGUAGAAAUACUCGUCCCAUUGAUUCUGUGGCACGGUGUGCGAUUUGAUUCGUUGUUCUGGUAAUUUUAACGCUUACACAUUUACCAAGAAGCAUUUAAUCCAUUUGCUUACAGAGAUGUUCGUUCAUCACAUGGGAAAAAAUAACCAGACAGCUAAGGGAAUCGCUAUAAAGUUGAGAUAUGCUAACGAUGAUGAUAAUAAGCCCGAUGUGAUGAAAGUUUUUUUAACUUAAUAUACCACAAAAAUCAUCAAUAAUUGCACUCACGCCGAUCAGAGAUACAUUGUUGUGCACAUAAAUUAAAUAGUUGCUUUCUCUUUAGCAGAGCCCACCUCUGGGCACAGAACAUUGUUCUUCAGCUUUGAGUUCUAUAUAUCGCAAAUGAUAUCGUCUUUUCCGUGUUGCAUGUAAAUCAGCAAUCGAGAAGUGACUUGGUACCCCGAAAAAAUAUAGCUAAGGGAAUCGCUAAUAUAUUUUUUGAGUAGCCGUGCAAUAACAACGCCAUUCUUAAAUGUGUUCCUGCCGAUGUUAUUGCUGCGAGAACAAGUAUAAAACAUGAUGACCGACAUGCUCCUUUAAAGUAAGCUCUGCACGACCCAAUCAUUACUAAUUAAUUUUUUACAGCACAGCCAAGCGAAGCUUAAAGAUGCUAAGGGAAUCGCAUAUGUAUAAAAUCAAUAUAAUAUCCCCCAUUUUGAUACAGAAUAUUAACUAAAUAAAUUGCUGGCAAUUUCGAUUUGUGUGGCAACAUAACAACACUGUUGAUGAUAAAGGAUCAAAGGAAUCGAGAAAAAAAAACUAACCAUGUCUCAUUAAAGAUUGUCCAAAAUCCAAACUUAAAAUGCUAAGGGAAUCGCAAACAUUUAAAUUAAUUCUCCUCUGAUCACUUCCCAUGUGAUCGCCUCAAACAUCCGUCAGCCGUGUAAGCAUACAUAUUGUUCAAAAGUAGAGAUGUAUAUAAAUGGAAAAAAGAAAUGCCACACAUCAGAAAUGGAACCAUAAAUGAAACGAAAUUUCCGCUGUCACAAGAUACAUCAAAUUCCCCGAGUCUGUAGUAUGUAAUUCACUGUGCUGCUGCUGCUGCGUUCCUUUCCUUCCCCUUUUCUGUUCUUUUAUCAUUUUUAGUAGCAUUUUUAUGUCACAGUUGAUCGGUGCCUGUGCAUAAUGCUUGUGGAAAUAUCUUGCGUUUUGGGAGAGAGCCAAUUGACUGGACACAGGGUCAAAAUGCGCGGCGGAUACACAACAACCAUCUGUCUUUUUGUUUUUCUCUCUUUUUUUUUUUGUUUCUUCGCUUUCUAUAACUUUUAUAGAUAAAUGCAACAGUUGAUCGGUGCCUGUUUGCAUUUCUUGGCAAAAUAAAAGAGAACCAUAGAAGAUUCCUCACAACAUGGCGCGACUUCAUCUUGCUCUCUUUUCUGUUUUUUUUUUUUCGUCUCCGUUCUCCGUUUCUUUUUUACUAUGGUUUAUAUUUUUUUUAGCUUUAUUAUGUCACAGUUGAUCGGUGCCUGUGCAUAAAUUAGACAUUUACUGGGAGAGGGUUGAUUGAAAGUAAUGUGGUCACCAACAACCUUUUGCAUGGAGUCAGGCGGGACAACAGCGAACAGAAUGUUUUGUCUCUUGUUUUUGUUUCUAUUUUAUGUUUUUUAUAGCCUUUAAAAUUAUGACACAGUUGAUCGGUGCCUGUGCAUAACCUUUUCGGAGGAUAGAGAAGAUGUUCGUUGGGUAUCUCCGAAUCCCGGCUCUUGAUUUAUUUUACCGAUAUUGCUACGGAGCUUUAUUGUGCAGCUAGUUUCGUGUUUUUGUCUUCUUUUUGUAUUGCUUUUCUUGCAUUUUUUGUAAAACAUUUUAGCGUUAUGAUACAGUUGAUCGGUGCCUGUAUAUAACUUGCCUAUAAAAUAAUUCUGAGGACUGAAAGAAUGACAUAUCGGUGACGUUGAUGAUGAAAUUACAGAUGGAAGAAAUAAUUUAUCUUUGCACACUUGACUCGAUUCGGUCGGUGGGACUUAAAAAUAUAGAUGUGCUGCUUGAGCGACUACAGCCAUUGUUGACUCUCGACAGCUAUUCAUACAACAGGUUUUUGUAUUUAUUACAUUUCCUUACGCUAAUGAUACCAUUUACAGGAAUCCGUCUUGCGUUGUUUUCUAUUCUGUUCUUUGAGGAACUUUCUUGAGUAUGUUUUUCUUUUCCCGCUAAAUUCUACACUACAAAAUAUCGUUAAAGGGAAUCCAUACGAUACAACAACUCGCAGGCCCUACAACCGCUAAAAUCUACUCUACUCCAUAUGUUUCUUAAAGGGAAUCCAAGAAACACGGCACCUGUAACCUCUACUUUCCUGCUUUUUGUUUCACAACUUUUUCUAUGUUUCCUUUUCUGCGCAACAUUGUCACUAGUUGUUAUUGUAAAUAAGUUUUCGAGUCAUAUGAACAUUAUUUUGUACUUAUAUAGAUAGACAUGUUCUCAACUAAACGAAUAAGACAAAAAGUAUCACAAAUUGUUGAACCAAAAACAAAUGAAUUGUAUGAAAAAUAUCUCUCACAAUGUAUAAAAAAUGAAAACAAGGAGAGAAACCAAUCAAGUAUGAAACAAAAUUCCAUAUUUAUAGAAAAAUUCUGUUUUAAACAAAGUUUUGUAAUUCUGAAAUAUUUUCAUAGACGAAAACAAAGUUUAUUGUUUUUAAACUAUAUAUUUUUCCAUGUAAACUCUAAAUUGUAAACUUUGUCAAACAUAGUUAUGCCUAUAUUUAAACUUUGUAACAUAAACUGGACAUCCUUAUUGCAAACACACACAAACAACAUACCCUAGAGAAACCAAACCGAUGACAUUUGUAUUCGACCGAGCUUCUUUUGGGUAGCGAAAUAGAGUGAGAUAAACCUUCAACUGCAGCUUCAAGUAUUUGGAAAUGCCCUCUAUCCGAAAUAUGCCUUAUAUUACCAGAGAGAUGAUUAUAGUUGAAUGCCGAGACUGAAAGCGAGGAAGAUUAAAAUAGAAAAAAAAAAUAAUGGGAGACGUGUGUGCCUUAGAAUUUCCUGUGAAAGCAAACAUCUAAUUUUGGGUUUCUUCAAUUAUGUUAUCAAACCACCCCCUUCGAACAAAAAUUGAUGCAAUGGACGAAAGCAAGAUCAACGGAGCGUAUAAGCAGCUCUCAUUCCUGGCUAUGUUACAGAUUACCUGUGACUCCUAAUAUGCUAUUUAUGUCCGUGUUCGUCUGCAAAAGUUCGUUUUUGAAACUUGAAACAUCGAUUUUGCAUAUCGUGCACCAACCAUACCAACACCCGAAUUUCCUGUGUCUUCUAGACAGCAAAGUCUCUGCAGCUCUUGUUGACACAAAUCUUAAAUGAUAUCAUCAUCCCUGCAUCAAGCCAUUGCGUUAGUCGUAUGCAACAAGAGGGGUUUUUGAAUUGAUAUGUCGAACAAAAUCGGCCAUCGUAAAUGACUUUAAAUACACAACCCAUCCUACUUCAUUAUGUGGAAGGGCGUACUACUUUAUCAGACAACCACCGAAGCUGCUUAUAAAUGCGUAGUCACACCUUAGUGAGAGGUAACAGUUCAAAAGCGGCUGAAUUAACACAUCAAACAUCAUCAUCAUAACCGAUUACCAAAUUACAACUUUAAUCAUUUUCUCUUAUGGUGCUAAACAACACCGCAAAUCCUUUUUGCAACCUUCUGUGAAGAAUUUCUCAUCCAUCCCGUUUAAUGAAUGUAGCCCGAAUUUGUAUGGAUACAAUGUUCACCAUCUCGGGUUCUUUUUUAACUGGAAGACGAUGCAUUUGAAUAUAAUUGCUCGAGCCAUGCAUUCGACCGUUCUUCCGACAAUACGUACUGUAAUUUUCAUGUUGCAUUUUCUGGUGAAUGCAGAAACUCAACCGAUAUACAAUAGGAACAUUGAGAUACAAUAAUCGUAGAACACACAAUUUACAAUCAUGAUGUAAAAAUUUGCAUUUGUACUGGCGUUGCGGCAAACAAUUUCGAAUCGUCUGCAUAUGGGUCCAGAUCUAUUACGAACUUCUUCUGAUUGUAGUCAUUGGAACUAUUCCAUUGGUUAUCUGUGUGGAACAUUCUUCGUAUUUGGAAAGCGUAGCGUAAACUAUUCAGUCAGCCAAUUUUUCUUGUCUUGUGUCUAUACUGGGAAGAGUAUCACUUUGUCUGCAGCGUACAUCGAAAACAUCUAGCAGCAUCGAGCUUUACUAUUUAUUCAGUUGACUGCAACGAGGGAAUUAGGAAUUGACGGCAGCGUGGGACACCAAGUGUUGACGGCAGCGUGGGACACCAAGUGAUGACGGCAGCGUGGGACACCAAAUAUUGACGGCGGCGUGGGAUACCAAGUGUUGACGGCAGCGUGGGAUUCCAAGAAUGGACGGCGGCGUGGGACUCCAAGGAUUGACGGCAGCGUGGGAUACCAAGCAUUGACGGCAGCGUGGGAUACCAAGCAUCGACGGCAGCGUGGGAUACCAAGAAGGGGCGGCGUGGGAUUCCAAGGAUUGACGGCAGCGUGGGAUUCCAAGGAUUGACGGCGGCGUGGGAUUCCAAGGAUUGACGGCGGCGUGGGAUUCCAAGGAUUGACUGCGGCGUGGGAUUCCAAGGAUUGACGGCAGCGUGGGAUUCCAAGGAUUGACUGCGGCGUGGGAUACCAAGUAUUGACGGCGGCGUGGGAUACCAAGUAUUGACGGCGGCGUGGGAUACCAAGAGUUGACGGCAGCGUGGGACUACAUGGUUCGGCAGCAGUGGAUAACUCUUAUGUCAGGACAUAGUAGGGAUAUUUUCGACGUUUAGUUGGGUUCCUCUUUUUCCACAUUUUUCCUAGCUAUAUUUCAAAGAUAAUCGCGUGGUUUUUUUUGAAGGACCAUUAUAUAUUUCAAGGGACAUAAACAUUGUGUAGAAUUUGUCGAUUUCCCCAUAUCCUUGCAGUAUUUUCCAUACCUGUUAUUUUUUGUCCGUAUCAUUUCUUAAUGCAAAUCCAAACUAUUUUUAAUAAAAUGUUCAUGCAUAUAUUUUUGAAAAGAAUUAAAACAUGGUUUCAUUAAUCAAUAAAACCUUCCUAAAAAU
rnacentral:sRNA from 1 species